UACAGAGGGGGCGAGCGUUGUUCGGAAUUACUGGGCGUAAAGGGCGCGUAGGCGGCCUUCUAAGUCGAACGUGAAAUCCCCGGGCUCAACCCGGGAACUGCGUCCGAUACUGGGGGGCUUGAAUCCGGGAGAGGGAUGUGGAAUUCCAGGUGUAGCGGUGAAAUGCGUAGAUAUCUGGAGGAACACCGGUGGCGAAGGCGGUUGCCUGGGGCUUUGCUGACGCUGAUGCGCGAAAGCGUGGGGAGCAAACAGG
rnacentral:rRNA from 1 species